rnacentral:rRNA from 1 species
GACGAACGCUGGCGGCGUGCUUAACACAUGCAAGUCGAACGGAAAGGCCCUGCUUUUGUGGGGUGCUCGAGUGGCGAACGGGUGAGUAACACGUGAGUAACCUGCCCUUGACUUUGGGAUAACUUCAGGAAACUGGGGCUAAUACCGGAGAGGAGCUCCUGCUGCAUGGUGGGGGUUGGAAAGUUUCGGCGGUUGGGGAUGGACUCGCGGCUUAUCAGCUUGUUGGUGGGGUAGUGGCUUACCAAGGCUUUGACGGGUAGCCGGCCUGAGAGGGUGACCGGCCACAUUGGGCCUGAGAUACGGCCCAGACUCCUACGGGAGGCAGCAGUGGAGAAUCUUGCACAAUGGGCGGAAGCCUGAUGCAGCAACGCCGCGUGCGGGAUGACGGCCUUCGGGUUGUAAACCGCUUUCGCCUGUGACGAAGCGUGAGUGACGGUACUGGGUAAAGAAGCACCGGCUAACUACGUG